rnacentral:rRNA from 1 species
GACGAACGCUGGCGGCGUGCUUAACACAUGCAAGUCGAACGGGCCUGCCUGGCUUUGGUUGGGUGGGUGAGUGGCGAACGGGUGAGUAACACGUGAGUAACCUGCCCUCUUCUCUUGGAUAACUGCUUGAAAGGGCGGCUAAUACGGGAUGUUCUGGCUGCCUCGCAUGGGGUGGUUUGGAAAGAUUCGGCCUGGUUUUGGUUGUUUUGGUGGGGGAUGGGCUCGCGGCUUAUCAGCUUGUUGGUGGGGUGAUGGCCUACCAAGGCGGUGACGGGUAGCCGGCCUGAGAGGGUAGACGGUCACACUGGGACUGAGACACGGCCCAGACUCCUCGGGAGGCAGCAGUGGGGGAUUUUGCACAAUGGGCGCAAGCCUGAUGCAGCGACGCCGCGUGAGGGAUGGAGGCCUUCGGGUUGUGAACCUCUGUCGCCGGUGAUGUAG